rnacentral:tRNA from 1 species
GGGCCGUUAGCUUAGCCUGGUUGGAGCGCUCGACUGAUAAUCGAGAGGUCCUGAGUUCAAAUCUCAGACGGCCCAC